rnacentral:rRNA from 1 species
CCUACGGGUGGCAGCAGUGGGGAAUAUUGGACAAUGGGCGAAAGCCUGAUCCAGCCAUGCCGCGUGUGUGAAGAAGGCCUUCGGGUUGUAAAGCACUUUCAGUGGGGAAGAAAGCCUUGGGGCUAAUACCCUCGAGGAAGGACAUCACCCACAGAAGAAGCACCGGCUAACUCCAUGCCAGCAGCCGCGGUAAUACGGAGGGUGCGAGCGUUAAUCGGAAUUACUGGGCGUAAAGCGCGCGUAGGCGGUCUGAUAAGCCGGUUGUGAAAGCCCCGGGCUCAACCUGGGAACGGCAUCCGGAACUGUCAGGCUAGAGUGCAGGAGAGGAAGGUAGAAUUCCCGGUGUAGCGGUGAAAUGCGUAGAGAUCGGGAGGAAUACCAGUGGCGAAGGCGGCCUUCUGGACUGACACUGACGCUGAGGUGCGAAAGCGUGGGUAGCAAACAGGAUUAGAUACCCUGGUAGUC